UACAGAGGGGGCAAGCGUUAUUCGGAAUUAUUGGGCGUAAAGGGCGCGUAGGCGGCUUGGCAAGUUUGGCGUGAAAUCUCCGGGCUUAACCCGGAAAUGGCGUUGAAUACUGUUUGAGCUGGAGGUUUGGAGGGGGGACUGGAAUUCUUGGUGUAGCAGUGAAAUGCGUAGAUAUCAAGAGGAACACCAGUGGCGAAGGCGAGUCCCUGGACAACACCUGACACUGAGGCGCGAAAGCUGGGGGAGCAAACAGG
rnacentral:rRNA from 1 species